AUGGCUAGCGAUGUUACCAACAAGACAGAUCCUCCAUCCAUGAAUUCCCGUGUAUUCAUUGGGAAUUUCAACACUCUGGUGGUCAUGAAGUCCAAUGUGGAGGCCAUCUUUUCAAAGUGUGGCAAAAUUGUGGGUUGCUCUGUGCAUAAAGACGUUGCCUUUGUCCAGUAUGCUAAUGAAAGAAAUGCCCUGGCUGCUGGAGCUGGAGAGGAUUGCAGAAUGAUCAUUGGCCAGGUUUUUAGAUAUUAACCUGGCUGCAGAGCCAAAAGUGAACGGAGGAAAAGCAGGUGUGAAACGAUCUGCAGCAGAGGUACAGGUCAGUCCCAGAUCCUCAUUUGACUUGGACCACGACUUUCAACGGGAUUGUUAUGACAGGAUGUACAGUUACCCAGCCUGUGUCUCCUCCUCCUCCUCCUAUUGCUCCAGCUGUGGUGUCUUCCAAACACCAGUGUGUUUCGGGGAACACCUCACAAAGGAGCAAAAGUAGAUUCAAUUCGAAGAGUGGACAACCGGGAUCUUCUUCCAAGUCUGGAAAGUUGAAAGGUGAUGACGUCAGGCCAUUAAAAAGGAGCUGACUCAGGUAAAACAAAAAGUGGAUUCUCUUCUGGAAAAAAAUGGAAAAAGAACAAAGCAAGCAAGCAGUAGAGAUAAAGACUGAAAAGUUCGAAAAAGAGCAGAGCAGUGCCUCUGUGAUGAAAGAUGAGACUGAUGUGCAGAUGGAGUCUGAGGCAGGUGCAGGGGACUCUGCUGAGGAGGGUGACCUGCUGGAUGAUGACGAUAAUGAAGAUGGGGGUGUGUGACCAGCUAGAGUUGAAAGAUGGUGAAAAAGAGCCUGAGGAAGGAGAAGAUGACAGAGACAGCGCCGAUGGGGAGGAUGGCUCUUAA
rnacentral:lncRNA from 1 species